rnacentral:rRNA from 1 species
ACGGGAGGCAGCAGUGAGGAAUAUUGGUCAAUGGGCGGAAGCCUGAACCAGCCAAGUCGCGUGAAGGAUGAAGGUAUUAUGUAUUGUAAACUUCUUUAGCUGUGGAGCAAUAAUCUCCAUGUAUGGAGAGAUGAGAGUACACAGAGAAUAAGGAUCGGCUAACUCCGUGCCAGCAGCCGCGGUAAUACGGAGGAUCCGAGCGUUAUCCGGAUUUAUUGGGUUUAAAGGGUGCGCAGGCGGCUUUCUAAGUCAGUGGUCAAAUCGUGGUGCUCAACGCCAUCCCGCCAUUGAUACUGGAGAGCUUGAUUGCGGUCGAGGUUUGCGGAAUUCGUCGUGUAGCGGUGAAGUGCAUAGAUAUGACGAAGAACACCGAUUGCGUAGGCAGCAGACCAGGCCGUAAAUGACGCUCAUGCACGAAAGUGCGGGGAUCGAACAGGAUUAGAUACCCUGGUA